AGUCCUGGAAAUGAUCUUGAUGCUAUCUGUUCCUCGUUACAGCAGACCUGCUCAACUUCAGCAGCUAGAAGGAGGAUUGUCUUUCACCAGCUGCAGGAGCCUGUUCCCACUACAAGCCUGGUGGAGUCUUCGGAGCAGAUGUGACUGUCCUACUUGUAUAGAGAAGAGAAACUGAGGCUCAGAAGAGAUGCCUGGCUGAGUUUAAUAGGACUGCAACAACAAUUUUGCCUUUCUACUUUCUGUGUCCCUCUAGGUUCUCUGAUUGGCUGAAGCUACUCUAAGCCAAGAGAUCAAAGAAGCUGAUAAUGUAGAAUGUAAGUUUGUCUCCUGGGCCACAAUGGAAAGCAGAGACUGUAGCUGGAGGAGUGAAUAGAGGAUAUGCAGCUCUGGUAAUUCUCAGUACAAUUCCCAGUGGUCCACUCUGCAGAAUGAACCAAGUUCCAUUUUGCCCAACUUCUGGCAGUCCACAUUUGGACUGUGAGCUCACCUACAGAUAAAUCGUACGUGGAUUGAUGCAGUAACUGGAUUUGUAGCUGCUAAAUCUUAUUUAAGUGAGGACCUGUCCAGUACAUGUGAAGACCACCCAUCCACUGAAAGUGAUAAGUGAAGCUGAAUCAAUACUAGACUGAAUCAAUACUGAGCUGAAUCAAUACUUUCCCAAUUUUGAGGAAAUCUUGGAAAAUCUCUGAGAAAUGUGGUAGUAAUUAUUUUGAAGAAUUGGAAAACUUUAUAGCUGAUUAUGCUAUGUGUGGAAGAUACAACAGGAUUAUAAGAGAGAGAAGACAAUAUCCUUGCUGUGUCCAGAAGGCUUUAGCCGGGGUGUCCUACUGAGAGAUGACAAACUUAAGGUUUUUCUCUUCCCAGACAUUACUGGACAACUAGCUAUGUAAUUAGGUCUUAUGCCGAAAAGACUGAAAGGAAAACAUCUCAGAUCUAGGAAUGUGAUCAAGAAAGAAGGCUGGUUAAAGAAUAACAUGGGGAAAAUGAAUGCAGUGAAAUGGUUCACGCACAAGUUCUAGGAAUUCAGAGUGCAACAGCAGAAAUGCGAUUUUUGUUAGAUAUUUCAGAAAGUGAUGUGAGUCCCUGAGGUCAUACUGCAGCGUUCAGGUUCUGUUUGGCCUCCUGCACGAAGCUUUCCUUGAUUGGAAAAGCUGCAUACUCUGAAGCACAUCGCAUGUGUCCUGUCUGUAGUUCAUUUCAUUUCCCCAGAUUUGUUAUCAUCCACCAUCACUCAUACAAGCCUACCUUCUUCAUGCCAACCUUUGUAAUCUUUCUACCUUGCUAACCUGGUCAUGUCAAGGACCAGCUAAUAAAUAGCAAAGUUGUACCUUGAGCCAAGGUAUCUUGACUCUUAGUCCAGUGCUCUUUAUAUACCUCUGAAGUCUUAUUUGAGCUUCAAAAUUAUGAGUCUGUGCUCUCAAGAUUUUUUUGAAAAUGUACUUAAUGUUGCCCCUAAGCUUUUAUGAGAAAUAAUAAAGUUCUUUCCAGAUUGAAUAUCUAAUAACUCCAUUUCAUUUUAUGCUUUCUCAUGUAUGGAUGUCUAUAACUGGAAUGCUAUUUGGGCUACUGAGAUAUUUUCUUAAUUCUCUGUUUUGUGUUAGUUCUUUUUGUUUGUUUAUUUGACAACCAUAUUUUUGCACCUGAGAUAAAUCUGGCAUUCUAUUCAACUUCAAUUUCAAAGAGAAUCUGAGAAUGUACUGGUAGAACGAUAUUUGAAUACUAAUAUCUUGGAAAUACAGAAAUAAGUAUCAUACAUUUUGUUACAUUCUGUUUGUGUACAAAUAAUAUAAAAAUCAAUGAAUGAGAAUUUCAUAUUUGAAUUGUAUAUGGAUUGAUGCAAUAACUUGAUUUAGACAAUACUUUUUAUGAAGA
rnacentral:lncRNA from 1 species